ensembl:lncRNA
CCUGGCCAUGAUAAAGCAAAGCAGUUCAACACAGAGUUACACAUGGAAUAAACAAACAUACAGUCAAUAACACAAUAGAAAAGUGUAUAUACAGUGUGCGAAAAUGAAGUAAGAUAAGGGAGGUAAGGCAAUAAGGCCAUAGUGGCACAAUAAUUAUAAUUUAGCAAUUAAACACUAUAGUGAUAGAUGUGCAGAAGAUGCAGAGUAGAGUGUUGGAGGCUAUUUUAUAAAUGACAUCGCCAAAGUCAUAUCAGUAGGAUGGUCAGCAUAAGUGAAGGAUGCUUUGUUGCAAAAUAGGAAGCCAAUUCUAGAUUUAAUUUUGGAUUGGAGAUGUUUAAUGUGAGUCUGGAAGGAGAGUUUACAGUCGAAACCAGACACCGAGGUAUUUGUAGUUGUCCACAUAUUCUAAGUCAGAACCGCCCAGAGUAGUGAUGCUAGACAGGCAGGCAGGUGCGGGCAGCGAUCGGUUGAAGAGCAACAGAACAGUUGUGCGGAACUGGAAGAAAACGAAACAUUCCGGAGGACCCAUCAUCCUUCCACUCUCUCCUCUCCGUGGCAAGUACGCAAAAUUACAUGUGAGCAAUAUGUAUAGUGUAGUAAGUGUGAAGAGGCUGUAAGAAAACAAGUUAAACACUUGUUGUAUUUUAUUGCAUUUGUUUAUUGAUGUUUGUUGAUGUUUUUUAUUCUUGGCAGUGGGUGUAGGCCAAGGCCGGACUGUCUCCUGAACUCACCGUUUAACAGAUCCGGAGAUUGGAGGGAUGAGAGAGUGGGCAGAAACGGUUAAGGUAGGAGAGGUUGGGGCAGAGCUGGUUAAGGUAGGAGAGGUUGGGGCAGAGCUGGUUAAGGUAGGAGAGGUUGGGGCAGGAACGGUUAAGGUAGGAGAGGUUGGGGCAGAGCUGGUUAAGGUAGGAGAGGUUGGGGCAGAGCUGGUUAAGGUAGGAGAGGUUGGGGCAGGGCUGGUUUGUGAUGGCUGGGUGGAAUGGGUUGUGAUUACCGGUAAUGGGAAUGGGGAAAAUAAGAAAUCAAAGUGUGGUGCAGUAGGUGAUAUUAAUGUGAAGGGACUGGACAUGGAGGCUGAUGGUGUUCCCAGAGGAAGGGUGGCUGAGGCACAAAUCCUGUAUGUCCAGGAUUUGUUGGAGCAGAUUGACUUGGGAGCCCUGUGGUGUCCAGCCAGAUGUGAUGGGUUGGGGUGUAGAGCCAGAGUGGAUGGAGUGAGAUGGUGCAGCACAGGAGGUGAUGGAUUGGGGUGGCACUGUUAGUGCUGGCCAAAGUGUUGAUGGUGAGGGUAGCUCCUCCAUGGGGGUAAAGCUGACUCCACAGUUCCCUCUGCUGCUGGUGGGGGACCAGAGUUGGAGAUUUCUCCCUG